UGAAAUCGGACGGUAAGAGCGUCCGGCCGUCUGCGGUGACGCAGCGGCGGCUAAACCCCACCUGGAGCAAGGCCAAAUAGGGGGACUUAGGCGCCCGGCCCGUCCCCGGGUUGGCCGCUUGACCGCGGCGGCAACGCCGCUCCGCCGAAAGCGGACCUCCGCCGGCUUCACCGCCGGUGGUUGGGCUAGAUAGAUGGUCACCGUUCUUCCUUCACAGGAAGGAUACAGAACCCGGCUUACAGGUCUGCAGAAUCC
rnacentral:RNase_P_RNA from 1 species